rnacentral:rRNA from 1 species
GACGAACGCUGGCGGCGUGCUUAACACAUGCAAGUCGAACGGAAAGGCCUCUUUCGGGGGGUACUCGAGUGGCGAACGGGUGAGUAACACGUGAGUAACCUGCCCUUGACUUUGGGAUAACUUCAGGAAACUGGGGCUAAUACCGGAUAGGAGCUCCUGCUGCAUGGUGGGGGUUGGAAAGUUUCGGCGGUUGGAGAUGGACUCGCGGCUUAUCAGCUUGUUGGUGGGGUAGUGGCUUACCAAGGCUUUGACGGGUAGCCGGCCUGAGAGGGUGACCGGCCACAUUGGGACUGAGAUACGGCCCAGACUCCUACGGGAGGCAGCAGGGGGGAAUAUUGCACAAUGGGUGGAAGCCUGAUGCAGCAACGCCGUGUGCGGGAUGACGGCCUUCGGGUUGUAAACCGCUUUCGCUCAUGACGAAGCUUUGUGUGACGGUAGUGGGUAAAGAAGCACCGGCUAACUACGUG